UGAAAUAGGGACAGAUUUUUUCUCUCUAAUA
rnacentral:piRNA from 1 species